AUUGAACGCUGGCGGCAGGCCUAACACAUGCAAGUCGAGCGGUAACAGAACUAGCUUGCUAGUUGCUGACGAGCGGCGGACGGGUGCGUAACACGUAGGAAUCUGCCCGGUAGUGGGGAUAGCCCGGAGAAAUCCGGAUUAAUACCGCAUACGCCCUAAGGGGGAAAGAUGGCCUCUUCUUGAAAGCUAUCACUAUCGGAUGAGCCUGCGUCGGAUUAGCUGGUUGGUGGGGUAAAGGCCUACCAAGGCGACGAUCCGUA
rnacentral:rRNA from 1 species